rnacentral:rRNA from 1 species
AAAGGAUGUGUAGGCUAAGAAACGAUCCAAGUAGGUAAAUGGAAUUUUUCUGGAGCGGUAGAAUGUGAGGAUAGAAAAUAGAACCCCUAAGGUAAAAACUAUUUACUACAAGGUAGGCUGAAACAUGAGAGUGUGGGGAGCAAACAGGAUUAGAGACCCUGGUAGUCCACACUGUGAACUUUGAAGAUGAUGCUUAGCAGACCCGAAAGGUAAAAUCUUCCGCCUGAGUAGUACGAUCGCAAGAUUAAAAUUCAAAAACUUUGGCUGUUCACUAUUUCGAUUAGAGGAGCGUG